UUCCGGUUGAUCCUGCCGGACCCGACUGCUAUCAGAGUGGGACUAAGCCAUGCGAGUCAACAUAGCAAUAUGUGGCAUACGGCUCAGUAACACGUAGUCAACAUGCCCAGGGGACGUGGAUAACCUCGGGAAACUGAGGAUAAACCGCGAUAGGUCAUCACUUCUGGAAUGGGUAAUGACUUAAAUCUAUAUGGCCCCUGGAUUGGACUGCGGCCGAUCAGGCUGUUGGUGAGGUAAUGGCCCACCAAACCUGUAACCGGUACGGGCUCUGAGAGGAGGAGCCCGGAGAUGGGCACUGAGACAAGGGCCCAGGCCCUAUGGGGCGCAGCAGGCGCGAAACCUCUGCAAUAGGCGAAAGCUUGACAGGGUUACUCUGAGUGAUUUCCGUUAAGGAGAUCUUUUGGCACCUCUAAAAAUGGUGCAGAAUAAGGGGUGGGCAAGUCUGGUGUCAGCCGCCGCGGUAAUACCAGCACCCCGAGUGGUCGGGACGUUUAUUGGGCCUAAAGCAUCCGUAGCCGGUUCUACAAGUCUUCCGUUAAAUCCACCUGCUUAACAGAUGGGCUGCGGAAGAUACUAUAGAGCUAGGAGGCGGGAGAGGCAAGCGGUACUCGAUGGGUAGGGGUAAAAUCCGUUGAUCCAUUGAAGACCACCAGUGGCGAAGGCGGCUUGCCAGAACGCGCUCGACGGUGAGGGAUGAAAGCUGGGGGAGCAAACCGGAUUAGAUACCCGGGUAGUCCCAGCUGUAAACGAUGCAGACUCGGUGAUGAGUUGGCUUAUUGCUAACUCAGUGCCGCAGGGAAGCCGUUAAGUUUGCCGCCUGGGGAGUACGGUCGCAAGACUGAAACUUAAAGGAAAUUGGCGGGGGAGCA
rnacentral:rRNA from 1 species